CCUACGGGUGGCAGCAGUGAGGAAUAUUGGUCAAUGGGCGAGAGCCUGAACCAGCCAAGUCGCGUGAGGGAGUACUGCCCUAUGGGUUGUAAACCUCUUUUGUCGGGGAGCAAAAGCCGGACGUGUCCGGCUGUGAGAGUACCCGAAGAAAAAGCAUCGGCUAACUCCGUGCCAGCAGCCGCGGUAAUACGGAGGAUGCGAGCGUUAUCCGGAUUUAUUGGGUUUAAAGGGUGCGCAGGCGGAGUUUUAAGUCAGCGGUAAAAUCGUGGGGCUCAACCCCAUCCAGCCGUUGAAACUGGGGAUCUAGAGUGUGCGAGAGGUAUGCGGAAUGCGUGGUGUAGCGGUGAAAUGCAUAGAUAUCACGCAGAACCCCGAUUGCGAAGGCAGCAUACCGGUGCACAACUGACGCUCAGGCACGAAAGCGUGGGUAUCGAACAGGAUUAGAUACCCGUGUAGUC
rnacentral:rRNA from 1 species